rnacentral:rRNA from 1 species
GUAGUGAACCUGGGGAGGGAUCAUARYAKAGUUAUCCAACUCCCAAACCCAUGUGAACUUAUYUCUUUGUUGCCUCGGCGCAAGSUACCCGGGACCUCGCGCCCCGGGGGGCCCGCCGGCGGACAAACCAAACUCUGUWAUCUUCGUUGAUUAUCUGAGUGUCUUAUUUAAUAAGUCAAAACUUUCAACAACGGAUCUCUUGGUUCUGGCAUCGAUGAAGAACGCAGCGAAAUGCGAUAAGUAAUGUGAAUUGCAGAAUUCAGUGAAUCAUCGAAUCUUUGAACGCACAUUGCGCCCAUUAGUAUUCUAGUGGGCAUGCCUGUUCGAGCGUCAUUUCAACCCCUAAGCACAGCUUAUUGUUGGGACUCUACGGCUUCGUAGUUCCCCAAAGACAUUGGCGGAGUGGCAGCAGUCCUCUGAGCGUAGUAAUUCUUUAUCUCGCUUUUGUUARGCGCUGCCCCCCCGGCCGUAAAACCCCCAAUUUUUUCUGGGUUGACCUCGGAUCAGGUAGGAAUACCCGCKGMACUUAAGCAUAUCAAUUAG